UGCCAGGCUCAAUCCCACCCCUAGGACCACCACCCAAGCUGAAGGCAGAUGCCCAACCGACUGAGCCACUCAGUUGCCUGAAUCAAGGGGGUUUAUCUCAGAUGGACACAGUUGAAUACAGAUCAAGUGGCUGAUUACUUGGGAAGGUGACUAGAUAACUGCAGAAGCAAAGUGCUUGGAAGAAGAUGCUAUCCCAUGGGUUGGCCUCCCAGGGGAUCACUGGCAAUUCAUUCUUGUUACAGGAAGGCAGGCUACAUAUGAAAUUAGGUUAGUUGAUUUGGUGCUGAUCGAGUGAGGCAAUUUUAUUCUGAUUGUGCCUUUUUCUUCAGCAAAGUUAAUAAAUAUUGACAAUAUUGGCUAUGCAUUCAUAUGCAUUCCUACCUCACAUUUGUGGUUGUAAAUUUAAAGAGUGGUGAAAAGUUAUUAUGGGGGGGAAGGGAGAGUAAAGAAGAGGGAGAGCGGGAGAGGGAGCAUAAGCUUAUGUUUAUGUUGGCAUGAGAAUUUUGGAGCUGGGAUUUUUGCUGAAGGAGAGGGGAUAUGUUCUCCAGCUUGUAAGGGAUCAUUGAGAAUGUCUGUGCCUCAUCCUUAAAUCCAGUGACACAUGGGAAGUAGGAAAAAGGUCCAUUUUUAGGGAGGGCUGUUGGGGAAGCAAUCUUCAGAGGAAACCAUAUUCCAAUAAAGCAGGAA